rnacentral:rRNA from 1 species
UUAAAGUUGUUGCAGUUAAAAAGCUCGUAGUUGAACCUUGGGCCUGGCUGGCCGGUCCGCCUCACCGCGUGUACUGGUCCGGCCGGGCCUUUCCUUCUGGGGGGCCGCAUGCCCUUCACUGGGCGUGUCGGGGAACCAGGACUUUUACUUUGAAAAAAUUAGAGUGUUCAAAGCAGGCCUUUGCUCGAAUACAUUAGCAUGGAAUAAUA